UACAGAGGUCUCAAGCGUUGUUCGGAUUUAUUGGGCGUAAAGGGUGCGCAGGCGGCAAGGUAAGUCAGGUGUGAAAUCUUGGGGCUUAACCCCAAAAAGCAUUCGAUACUGCUUUGCUUGAGGAUUGGAAAGGAGAUUGGAAUUCACGGUGUAGCAGUGAAAUGCGUAGAUAUCGUGAGGAAGGCCAGUGGCGAAAGCGAAUCUCUGGACAAUUCCUGACGCUGAGGCACGAAGGCUAGGGGAGCAAACGGG
rnacentral:rRNA from 1 species